UACGUAGGGUGCAAGCGUUGUCCGGAAUUAUUGGGCGUAAAGAGCUCGUAGGCGGUUUGUCGCGUCUGCUGUGAAAACGCGAGGCUCAACCUCGCGCCUGCAGUGGGUACGGGCAGACUAGACGUGCGGUAGGGGAGAUUGGAAUCCUGGUGUAGCGGUGGAAUGCGCAGAUAUCAGGAGGAACACCGAUGGCGAAGGCAGAUCUCUGGGCCGUAACU
rnacentral:rRNA from 1 species